UGGGUUGGCACCAGAUCUGGAAUCUCUUCCAUUUCUGAAGUUAGGUACGACGAGUAGUGCCCUUUCUACUGUGUAAUAGCACCUCCUGUACCUCCUCAGAGCAAGAUGUUUCUGUGUGCUGGAACCAUAAAGGAGCCACGCUUUGAGUUGCAGGACCUGCAGAUUGGGGUGGAGGGUGUGACCCUUGUUCUGUGACAGGAGAGAACUUUCAGCAAUAGAGGGAAUGGGGGAAAGGCAUAAAGAAGGCCCUUGUCCCAAGGAAGGAGGAGAGAGUCUCCCAUGGAGUGUCAACCAAUCCCUGCCCUGGAACAGUACUGUGGACACAUUUCUUUUUUUGGCUGGCAUGUAUAUCCCCAGGGAAUGAAGGGUCGCAUAUGUCUUUUCGGCUUCGUUUCCUCAAAGGGUAGUUCUUCCACAGUGGUUUGGACCUCUUUCAGGAAGCCCUUCUCAUAGCCACAGCCAUGGAAACUGAACGAGCCGCUGUGUCUGCCACGUCUAAUGUGGACUGUAGAGAUAUUUUCACCAUCAGCUGGUCCUCAUUAAUUAUUGCCAUGAAUUAGUCUUUGUGGGAGGUCUGGGAGCUGAUCGAUAAAGAAAUUCACAUUGUUCUGGUAGUCGUAUUUGGCCAACAUGGCCCAAUAAUUAGCCACCUGGAAGUGAAGAGUGGCUGAUGAAUACACUUUUCUGAGAAACAGUUCCAAGUGUUUCCCAUCUUGGUGGAUUUAAACUGGUAUUGGAGGCCUCUAGAAUUAACCACAUCCACAAUGAUGGAACUG